rnacentral:tRNA from 1 species
UGUAGUUUAGUGUCCAGGCACAGUAACUUUUGAUGUUACAAGUAUUAUUCUUUUAUUAAUUACAU